UUUUUUUAGGAUACCUCUGUCCAAGCUUUGACUCGGUUUUCUAUAACUAACAUAAUACUUCUGAUAAUUAUGGGAAACUCACUGAGUAGGCUGGUGCUACAUAUUUAAUGAAUGAUAGUUAUAUUGUAACAAACUUAGCUGAGCUCACCUUCAGAAGUUAGAGUGGCAAAGUAUUGUACUAUUUUCAUAAGUGCAGAAGAAAAAUGGUUUGAUUUCCCUUAGUUUUCAAAGGCCAUUUUGCUUUUUUUGGGCACUUUGUAUAUCUGUCUUAUGAGUAGCAUGUGGUUCCUUUUUCAGCAUGAAUUCAUCCGCCACAAAGCUUGGCAGUGAACUGGUAAAUAAGGGGGUGACUACUUGCAGUUGAGGGUUUGUCUUUAAGUAAAUGCGGCUCUGGCGUCAGCAAGUCCAACCUCCUCUCCCGCUUCACCAGGCGGGUACCGGGCGUUAGCGUCGUCGAGUUCGCCACCCACAGUCUCUAGGUCGACGGCAAGGGUCUAAACUUUGGAGAGGAAAAACUGAAGCAGCUAGACUGAAGCAGUUGGGUACUUGGUAAUCACUAGAAUGCCAUUAUGCCCUUACAUAUGUGCUGCUUGAGACCCUACAUUUGUAAUGAAUUGAUAGAUUGAUGUAAUGAUAUUGUAUUUACUGUGAAGAUGUUAAUUCAUUUGGA